GAUGAACGCUGGCGGCGUGCCUAAUACAUGCAAGUCGAGCGAACGGACGAGAAGCUUGCUUCUCUGAUGUUAGCGGCGGACGGGUGAGUAACACGUGGAUAACCUACCUAUAAGACUGGGAUAACUUCGGGAAACCGGAGCUAAUACCGGAUAAUAUUUUGAACCGCAUGGUUCAAAAGUGAAAGACGGUCUUGCUGUCACUUAUAGAUGGAUCCGCGCUGCAUUAGCUAGUUGGUAAGGUAACGGCUUACCAAGGCAACGAUGCAUAGCCGACCUGAGAGGGUGAUCGGCCACACUGGAACUGAGACACGGUCCAGACUCCUACGGGAGGCAGCAGUAGGGAAUCUUCCGCAAUGGGCGAAAGCCUGACGGAGCAACGCCGCGUGAGUGAUGAAGGUCUUCGGAUCGUAACACUCUGUUAUUAGGGAAGAACAUAUGUGUAAGUAACUGUGCACAUCUUGACGGUACCUAAUCAGAAAGCCACGGCUAACUACGUG
rnacentral:rRNA from 1 species